UACGUAUGGUGCAAGCGUUAUCCGGAUUUACUGGGUGUAAAGGGAGCGCAGGCGGUACGGCAAGUCUGAUGUGAAAGCCCGGGGCUCAACCCCGGUACUGCAUUGGAAACUGUCGGACUAGAGUGUCGGAGGGGUAAGUGGAAUUCCUAGUGUAGCAGUGAAAUGCGUAGAUAUUAGGAGGAACACCAGUGGCGAAGGCGGCUUACUGGACGAUUACUGACGCUGAGGCUCGAAAGCGUGGGGAGCAAACAGG
rnacentral:rRNA from 1 species